UGUUCAUGUACCGCCGCGUGUAGGACGUACUAACGAACUUUCUCUUUACGUUCUCGCGGCUGUCACAACCUCGUGGUUUUUGGCGUUGCCUUAUAAGCCGUUCCCUCCAUUCGUUCCUUGCGGGAAGCGACGUCUAAAGCAAUCGAAGCCUCGUGGUUUUUGGCGUGGCCUGUUCGGCUCUAUCGCGCCGUUCCCUCCGUUCGUUCCUGGCGGAGCGACGUCCAAAGACCUACAGAAGGGCUCUUUAUGUCCCUCUGUCCGGUGGUGGUUGCAAGCGAGGCCUGCACCGUUAUUGCCAUCACCAUAGUCUGAAGCAGGGCUCUGCCUGGCUCUGCGUCCCUCUGUCCACUGGUGGUCGCAAUCGAGGCCUGCACCGUAAUUGCCAUCACCAUAGUCUGAAGACCUACAGCAGGGCUCUGCCUGGCUCUGCGUCCCUCUGUCCAGUGGUGGUUGCAAGCGAGGCCUCCACCGUAAUUGCCAUCACCAUAGUCUGAAGGUUUUCUGCACGUAAAGCGCAAGAUGGAGCAUGGACAAGUUUUUUUUGUUUUUUUAAUCGUCCAAGGCAUGGAGUUUUACUGAAGUUGAGCUAUGGUCCCGUUACAAGUGCGCAGGUUUCUUCAGAUGAAAGCGUAGACUGGGGUCCGAACAAGGUGUUCUUUUUUUAACUGGCCCAGGCACAUUGUUUUAUUGAAGGUGAGCUAUGGUCUCCUACCCGCCUUACUUGUCACAGACAUUAUUUGCUGCCCUAGAUUUUUCUUCUCUUUUGAAAUGUCAGUUGGUUUUCAACUAAAUAUGCA